GGGCCAGUAGCUCAGUCCGGUAGAGCGCAUCGUUCGCAACGAUGAGGCCUCGGGUUCAAAUCCCGACUGGUCCA
rnacentral:tRNA from 1 species